GUACUAAUCACCAAGGGAUUUUGAUAAAAGGAAGACCCUGAGCAAUGGGUUCAGGGCAGGUCCUGAGAUUCUGCAUUUCUAACAAAUUCCUAGGUGAACAGGAU
rnacentral:pre_miRNA from 1 species